CUCCCAGUGGCGUAGUUGGUUCAACGCGUUCGGCUGUAAUAGUUACUUCGUUACCGAAAGAUCACCUGUUCGAUUCAGGUCUGGGAGA
rnacentral:tRNA from 1 species